ensembl:lncRNA
GUUUUAUUGCCUGGGCCACAUUGACUGGGGAGGAAUCGUCUUGGGCUGCCAACGAAAUAUAUAAUGUAGCUCAUUUCUCUGUCUGUGACCACAAAGGCAUUCCAGUAAGGAAGAUGUUACCCUGGACUGUCCUUGACUUGGUGAGCGCCUGUUGCUUCCUCCUGCUCUCACUGAAUCGAGCUGAGACCUGGCACUGCACAUUAGCUGAAAGCCGUCCUUGUCUCCACCGCCUCAGCCACUCUCUCUUCUUAUACAGUCAACAUUACCUUGGUAACACAAACCUACCUGCAAUUUUCUCAUUACUACACACAUAUGGCAAAACCAAAAGUCAACAAUAUGGUGAGCUAUUCUGCAGGGGAUUUUUGGCAAACCCAAGCCUGGCGUGUGAUUAACAGCAAACCAUUUGAAAAGCAGUUCAACAUUUUGAGAAUAAUCACUUGCGCUGGCUUUUCUUUAUCGACUUGAAAAAUCAAACUACCUUAACUUGCCAAGAGUUCAGUCCUCCAGACACAAAGUAAGGGGAAUGCAUUUUAGAAACCUCAAUAAAUAAAUAAAUAAAUAACCUCCUCUAGUUAGCCAUUUAAUACAUAAUUAUUUAAGAUAAAAUAUCUCAAGAGAUUCCAGAAUGAGAAGGAAGCUCCCAGACUGCAGGAGUAGGAAAUGGAAUAUUCUUGGUACUGGCAGCAGAAGACAUCACUUGGCUUUUCUGGGAGAAUGCUAGAGGCUCUUUCAUUCUGUAUUUGUUCUGUUUUCUAUGUUGUUGGUUUCUACAGCUGUGGUAAGGGUUUUCUGCUGUAUUCAUAUUAAGAACAUC